UUUAUUCUGACAAGAUGGAUUCUUGCUUGAUCUUGAAAUCUCACGAGUUCAGCUGCCUCGCAACCCUCCCGCUAGAAGUCUGCCGCAGGGCAGCUUUCGGAAGCUGGCCAAUCAGAACAGAAUGGGCUCGUAGGAGGGGGCUUUAAAGAGACAGGAGCUAAAACAGUCUGUUUUAGGCUGAAGCUGAACUGAGGGUCUACAUAGAAGAUCAGACAUCACGGGAAAGGAAAGGCAGCACAAGGACAGGAAAUGGGGCAGCAGUAAAAGAGGAAG